rnacentral:rRNA from 1 species
CGGGACACGUGGUAUCCUGUCUGAAUAUGGGGGGACCAUCCUCCAAGGCUAAAUACUCCUGACUGACCGAUAGUGAACCAGUACCGUGAGGGAAAGGCGAAAAGAACCCCGGCGAGGGGAGUGAAAAAGAACCUGAAACCGUGUACGUACAAGCAGUGGGAGCACGCUUAGGCGUGUGACUGCGUACCUUUUGUAUAAUGGGUCAGCGACUUAUAUUCUGUAGCAAGGUUAACCGAAUAGGGGAGCCGAAGGGAAACCGAGUCUUAACUGGGCGUUAAGUUGCAGGGUAUAGACCCGAAACCCGGUGAUCUAGCCAUGGGCAGGUUGAAGGUUGGGUAACACUAACUGGAGGACCGAACCGACUAAUGUUGAAAAAUUAGCGGAUGACUUGUGGCUGGGGGUGAAAGGCCAAUCAAACCGGGAGAUAGCUGGUUCUCCCCGAAAGCUAUUUAGGUAGCGCCUCGUGAAUUCAUCUCCGGGGGUAGAGCACUGUUUCGGCAAGGGGGUCAUCCCGACUUACCAACCCGAUGCAAACUGCGAAUACCGGAGAAUGUUAUCACGGGAGACACACGGCGGGUGCUAACGUCCGUCGUGAAGAGGGAAACAACCCAGACCGCCAGCUAAGGUCCCAAAGUCAUGGUUAAGUGGGAAACGAUGUGGGAAGGCCCAGACAGCCAGGAUGUUGGCUUAGAAGCAGCCAUCAUUUAAAGAAAGCGUAAUAGCUCACUGGUCGAGUCGGCCUGCGCGGAAGAUGUAACGGGGCUAAACCAUGCACCGAAGCUGCGGCAGCGACGCUGAUGCGUUGUUGGGUAGGGGAGCGUUCUGUAAGCCUGUGAAGGUGUGCUGUGAGGCAUGCUGGAGGUAUCAGAAGUGCGAAUGCUGACAUAAGUAACGAUAAAGCGGGUGAAAAGCCCGCUCGCCGGAAGACCAAGGGUUCCUGUCCAACGUUAAUCGGGGCAGGGUGAGUCGACCCCUAAGGCGAGGCCGAAAGGCGUAGUCGAUGGGAAACAGGUUAAUAUUCCUGUACUUGGUGUUACUGCGAAGGGGGGACGGAGAAGGCUAUGUUGGCCGGGCGACGGUUGUCCCGGUUUAAGCGUGUAGGCUGGUUUUCCAGGCAAAUCCGGAAAAUCAAGGCUGAGGCGUGAUGACGAGGCACUACGGUGCUGAAGCAACAAAUGCCCUGCUUCCAGGAAAAGCCUCUAAGCAUCAGGUAACAUCAAAUCGUACCCCAAACCGACACAGGUGGUCAGGUAGAGAAUACCAAGGCGCUUGAGAGAACUCGGGUGAAGGAACUAGGCAAAAUGGUGCCGUAAC